GCCAGGGUAGCUCAGUGGUAGAGCAGCGGACUCAUAAGCCGCGGGUCGCGGGUUCAAUCCCCGCCCCUGGCA
rnacentral:tRNA from 1 species